AGAGGCGCACCGUGCCACCACAGCGCACGCACAUCAGUGACAUCGUUUUCAGCAGGUGCAGCACCACUAACAGGAGAGCACGCACAGGACGAGAGAAACGAAACAAGGGCGUAGCGCUCAUAUCAUCCGCGGGCGGGACUAUAUGUCCAUCGCUUCACGCUCGACACACGGAGCUACACACAAAAACACACAGAUACGCGCAUAGGUCGCGCACCGUAGAUUGUGCUUCUCUCACUCCCCCCCCCCACGCUCCCCCUCCAACGAUUCUGCGCGUUGCCGCAGCACACUCGCUGCCGCGCCAUUUGUGCAAAGUGUUUCUCGUGUUGUGCUCUCGUGCCUUCUCUCUGCUUGCUUGCCAGAACCAGAGCAAGGGAAAGACGCACACACAAGCACAAACGCACAGGCCACUGCUCACAAGACUCCUCCAACCAGAGGCAGAGACAGCUCGCGUUGGGUGGACGUGUUGGCGGCUCUCCGUCGACUUCAUCUUUCUGCUGCUGCGCAUCUUUUUUUUUUCUUUGACUUUGUGCGUCCGUCGUCAUUGAAGGCGAGCGCUCUGUUGUUUGCCCUUACGUGUGUGUGUGGCACACGUGCCGCUGCUUCAACGUCCUCGAUCACCUUUGAUUUGUUUUGUGUUUCCUUCCUUUUCUGCUCCUUACACCUGCGGCGUUGUUUGUGGCUGUGAAACCUGCUCCUCAACACGGACACGCUCCCUCCCCCGAUCCCCUCCCUUCCUUUUCCUUUCCUUCCAUUGCCAUUCAGCUCACUGUUGUCGCCCCGCCCAUCUCCCUCCUCUAUCUUUGAGUGUUGGCUAGCGAGAGCGUUUCCGAGUACUGACGACAAGUCUGCUGAGCACCGCCGAAGGGAAGGAGGACGGGGAAAAAUAAGCCGCAGCAUUCACCGCACAGUGAUCGCAAGAAAACUUGAGCUUGGAGAAGCUCGUCAUUGCGCUGUUUCCGUCGUCGUGGUUAGCGUUGCCCACCGUGCUGAUACCAGCGGCUGCUGAAAGGGGAAGAGGUAGCGCUUACAUCGAGUUGGAGGACAAGGAAAGAGAAACGCUGUGACGGUGCUGGUCGUGGGGCUUUAUCUUACUACCGCCGCCCUCUCUCGUGGUGCAUGCUGACGUUGUCUCUCUUCGGUGGAGGUUGUCAGCAUCGCCUGUCGGUUCCCCCCCCCCCCCGCUUUUCUCUCUGCUCGAUCUGCUGCACCCCUCCCCCAACCCACACCUGUCUGUGGCUUGUUUAAGGCAUUCCUUUCGCAUUGGAUAAUCGCCGGUGCCAUCUGCGUGUAUUGCAGACGUGAGGGAUAAGUGGCGGUGGGAAAGGCGGAUUGGUAGCACGUGCACGCCUUUCCCGGGCUUUGUGUGCCCUCAUUUUUCAUCUCUAGUUUCUUUUCUUCUUCCCAUCUCGUCUGUGUGUUUCCUGUUGUGGUUGUGAGAGUGUGCGGGUGCGUCUGCUGGCCAGACGUCGCUCAUUCACUUGGUGUGUAUCUCCUCUUGCGUGCACUCAUAUUUUUGUUUUCUAUUCCUCUUGCUUUCUUUUUUUUUUUAGGUGGGGGAGGGGUAGGUGAAUAUCCUUGGUGCUGCUGCUAAAGCUGUGUUGGUGGUUCAACGACUGCGAGCUCGCUGUCCCUCGGUGUGUUUAUAUGUUAUGCGUUUGGUUUACAUCAUCCGGUUAGACGUAAGCAAAGGGGGAGAAAAAAGAAGCCGACCAACAGACCAAAAGACAAGAGGCGAGACGCCUGCUCAUCUGCAGACGCGGUGCGCUCGCAGCGUUGCUUCUUUGUGUGUCGUUCACAGUGGGUGGCUCUCUGUCCAUUCGACUUUGCAUUCUAUUUCUUAUUUUCCUUAAAUUGCUCUGCGUGUGCGUGCGAGUGGGUGUCAGCGGUGUCUACCUGCAGCGUUGCCAAUAGCAUUGUUGUGUACGCGCAGGAUACCCGUGCUUUAGUCCUUUCUUACAUCUUUUCCUUACUCACCUCUCCUAUUCUCAUUUACUUCUCCUCACUCAUUUUCACGUGGCGCGCCACCAUCCACAUACCUCCGCGUCCCCCCACUUCUCCACCCUCAACAAGUGUGUGUGUGUGUGUCUGUGUUGGUGGACUUGCCAGCAGGUUGUUGCGGCAUUCUCUUUUCAUAUGUCGUUUAGUUUUGCGUAUUUGUUUCCUUCCGACUCUCAGCUGCUUUUGCACCACCGAUUCGUGUCGACACUUGUCUUGUUCUCGCCAUCGUAUUCCCCUGUACAAGAUUCUAUUCGGCCUUCCUCCUGUCACGUUCCGUCUAUCCCGCUCCUGCCGUCGCCGUGUACCUUAGACACCCACACACACCUACAAGAAGCGCAGCGCGUUCGGUACGCCUGCCUGUCAUUGACCCCUGCAGCGUUGGGAAAGGAAUUAAAGUACGUGAGUGACGCCCUUUUUCUUGUCUGUUUUCCAAAUCCCAGAGAGCGGGCGCGUGCGCGUGUGAUUCGCUCGUCUUCCUCUCUGGCGGCGUAGCGCGCAUAGUCGAAGGCGAGAACGACGCUGAGAAUAUCAAAGUGGUCGUGCAACAGCCCGGAGGAAAAGUAGUGGUCAGCCGUUGUGGCAGUGUUGCUUCCACGUUCACAUCCGCGCAGUCAUCGAAAGAGGAAGCGAACCAGACAGCACGAAAGUCUCGGCGCUUGCUCCCCCCUCUCACACGCACGCACGCACGCACGCGGAGAGUGACCCAGAUACUCGAUUGUGAGACAAGCACACAUCAGGCCCCCACUCUUCCAUCCGCAGCAGUGACUGCUACUAAAAAAAGAAGGAAAACGAAGGGUCAGCCAGUACCCACGUCUCAGAGAAGCACCGACAAAAAGAGAUUUCGUUUUGUUGUUGUUUUCGGCUCAGCGCUGGCUAGUCUCUGUUUUUUUUUUUUGAUUAUUUCGUUUUUGGUCGUCUGCUAGUGCCCCUUCCGCUGCCUUUUUCCUCAUUGAUUCAUUCACCAAGUCAUGCCGACGUAUCAGGAGAUGCCCUCGCCGCGGCUGCGGAGGUCGAAAUAUGCUGCCGAGCCUAUCGAAGCCACGCAGCGCCAAGAGGAGAAUGAGAUGAACGGCCACUUCCACACUCCGUUGCUACAGCCCGAAGAACCACCGACGACACCAACAAGGUCGGCUGAGAAACGUACCGACAUCCCAACCAGAUUGGAUGAUUCUCGUCGACUAGGGUACACGAAGACUUCACCGAACGCAAGGCACGCCUUCACGGAAGCCAGCACCGCCACGAGGGGCCUCGUGCCGAUGCGAAGGUACAUGGCAGUGAGCACCUCCGACAGCUUCGAAAGCGCCGUUGUCUUUCAUUCGCCUGACCAGGCAGCCGUGAGGAUGGUGUCUGGCGUGCUCAGCGCCAGCGAACAGAAAAGCUGCAGCAGCGGCGCUUCCCAGAUGAAGGUUGGCAGCGAUGCCGUGAACCUCACCCUCGUGGAGGACGACGACAGCGACGAUCUUGAGUACAGGAACAUCGAGGACGACAAGAUAGACGACGGCUACGGUGCCGGGGUUGUGUUCGAGCUUUACAAGCCGAUGGAGAUGCGGCGGCCUGAGCACACGUUCAGCAAAGGGUCGCCACUCCCGCCUGCGGUGCUGACAAGGCGGCUUCCAGCCGGCGGGGUAUCCGGUCGUCGCUACAACUGCUCGAACGGAUCGCGCGAGAAGGUUGGUGGGCGGUAUCCCACACUCUCCCAAAGUUCGCGGCUUGAGGAUAUCCGCAGGCUGCCGCCGCACGGAGGGGAAAUGUGUAAGAGCAGCAACAUCUCCGUCGACAGAACUCGCGCAAUGGCACAGGAAGACAUGGUGCGCAACAGCUCCGCCGACAGCUUCAGCGUCGACGGGGCUGGGACAGCUUUCCAGAACAGCGGGCAGCCGCAGCGCAUAGAUUCCUCCAUGAACUCGCAGUUCUUCUUCAAGCCGAGACAGCGGCGCAACGGGAUGAACGCGUCUGUCGUCCACGGCGGCAGCCACCACGACUCCAUGAGCAGCCCCAGCGAGUCCCCGCAGGUGUCCGCAGACGUCGCGGCACCCACACUGAUGAAUGUCAGUGGGCCUCACCUUUUCCGCUCGGACCAGGUGGCGCUCAUUUCUCAUUGCCGUCGACAGAGCCGACAUACGCACGCGAAUCACCACCUACACAACCAUAAUCACCGUCGCAGCGACGGCGACGCGGCUGGGGAAGCUGCCAGCCUAAUGGACGGAAUAGUGCUCGGCAUGGCUUCCGUGGACCCCUUGACCGGCGACGGCGAGGCAGGCAUGACGACGUCUCUGUCGAUUACAGACGGAUUCGACCUUGUACGCGCGCCAAUAACGGGGCUGCGCGCGAUGGUGCUCGGGAACAACGCCGUGGAGGAAGAGGAGGCCGCCGAGGACCCCGAGAUGCGCGCACGCCAGGCGGAGCAGCUCAAGCACUUCUACUCAAAAGUGGUGCGGCAGCAUCGCAACUGUGCCGAGAGCGGUGCGCCAGCGGGAGGCAACUCGCCACCAACGUCGGUGACAAGAAGCGCUUCGACUCUGCAGGCGACGCAGGCUCUCCACAUCGACGACGCCGCCGCCGACUGCGUCACGCCCGGGCAUGAAUUCGGCGCACUUAUUCUCUCGCAGUCAUCCCCUCUAGGGGAUGAGGGGAGAGCUGCACUGGUUCUUGAGAGCGUCGUCGCGAAGAAGGCGAAGAAGCGAGAGAAGAGGGUGAUGUUCAACAUAAACGGCAUGGAGCAGCCGCACACCGAAGGCGGCGGCGUCGCAAACCUGCCCAAUCACGGCACCCCACAACCGACGUGUGCUCUGGUGCCUCAUGCGCCAUCGCCGUUGGCGCUGCAGUGCUUCGGCGGUGAAAGAACCUCCAGCAGCGGCGAAGCGGAGGUGAACGACUUGGCUACCUGGGAGUCACCGCUGCCGCCGGCCUCGCUUCGCAUGGCACGGAGGGUCGGUGACAUGCAGAAUCAGCUGACCUCGGCCACAAGCGCAACAAGGACAGAGACGCUCACCAGCUCCGCCGACGAAGCCGUGCCUGCGCUACCUUCGCCUGUGACGCCGGUGCGAGGAGCACCGAGCAUGCCGUCCUUACACGCUCCGCGGCGCGCGAACGAAGAUGACGAGCACCCUCUCACCGAUCCGCUCACUCCUUCGGCGUCCGCCAACUUUGCACAGCAGCAGUUGCCGACGUUCGCUCCCACGGCGACGGCAUCGUCAUCUCCAUCGCCCCCAGCGCCGCCGUCCACAACUCUGGGGAAGCUGAGCGCCAUCUUCGACGAGGCGCCGCGGAAACGCUGCUUUUCUGGCGGUAAAGCGUCAACGUCGUCGACGAAGCACCGUAAAGCGGCCAUGACCCUCGUUGCGGAGGCGGGCGACGCCAUCGUGCUGCCGCAAUCCAGUACCACCUUCGUUCCCCAAUCGCGGCCCCCCUACUCACAUCUUGUCCCCCCGAACAUACUCAGCUCGCUGGAGGUGCGCCUGCCCGACCGAGAUUCGUCUAAGAAAGGGAGCUCACGGCCACGGCACCCGCCUCAGACGAGCCUCUACAUCUCAUGUGCUCAGGCAAAAUAUCUGUCGCCUCUGCACUCAGCAGAGGGCAGCGUUCCUCCGGUGCAUCACCUCAAGUCGAGGGGUACGGCCACGCAAGUCGUUAUGCCGCCAUUGCUGCGCACUGCGCAGGCUGUCUCAGACCGCGAGGUACCCUCCGAGCCGAUGCAGAAACCAUCGACCACGGUGUCGACGGUAGCGACCGCCGCCGCUGGGCUGACUACAGGAAAGCGGAAUGAAAAUGUCGACAAAAGCCGGCGUGACUCACAGCAUAGCAGUGCAUCCUCCUUUCCCAUAGUGAAAUCGCAUGCAGUCAAGACAGACCUUCCACUGCUGCCGGCGCAGUCCUCCAGCCGGCUGUCCAGAAAGGAGUCGCCGCGCGAGUGGGCCAGCAACAAGCCUUCCUCCCCCUCCGUCUCUGAUGAUGAGGUGCCGGUGCCGCGGCCUUCCGCCUUGGCGCGGCACUUUUCCAUCCCUCGCGAGACCGCCACGACGGUGGCGGGUUCUGAUGCAGCUGUCGGCGCAGGCCGCGAGCAGCAAAUGAGUGAUUUUACAAUGAGUAGAAGGUCCAUCUCUGGCGAUCCCGACACGGCCUCUUCCAGGGCAACCCGAUCUUCAGGGCACGCGGUUCCCCAUCUACUCGCCAUCACUGUGCCGAGGCACACAUGACAGUGCCGUGAUGCCCACGGGGGGGCGGGGGCGUUGGUGAUUGCCGUUUUCCUGUCGUGUGUGUGUUUGUUUUUUGUUGUUGUGGAUGUGUACGAGGGCCCGUGAUGAUGUGACUGCGUCGGAGCUCGUCGACCUUGUCAGUGCAUCUCUAUUAGCUCGCAUUUGCCAUUGUUUUGUGCUGGCCAAGCAUUCACUUGCGCUUCGCUGCGCUUCACUCUUUUUUUUUCACGUGUGCGCUUGUGUCUUGGUGGGUCGUGCGUAGAGUCUGUUGUGAUCGCUUGAUCGUUACCGGGUCGGUAAGGAUGGACGAGCGCGCGUGCGUGUGGAGAACGAACUCCGUUAUCCU
rnacentral:misc_RNA from 1 species